AGUGAACGCUGGCGGCGUGCUUAACACAUGCAAGUCGAACGAGAACGGAUUAUAGCUUGCUAUAAUUGUCAGCUAAGUGGCGCACGGGUGAGUAAUGUAUAGAUAACCUGCCCUCUAGAAAGGAAUAACAAUUGGAAACGACUGCUAAUGCCCUAUAUGCCUUUAAUACAUAAGUAUGCAAGGGAAACGCUUUAGUGCUAGAGGAUGGGUCUGUAUGGUAUCAGCUUGUUGGUGAGGUAAUGGCUCACCAAGGCUAUGACGCCUAACUGGUUUGAGAGGGAUGAUCAGUCACACUGGAACUGAGACACGGUCCAGACUCCGUACGGGAGGCAGCAGGUGGGGAAUAUUGCACAAUGGACGAAAGUCUGAUGCAGCAACGCCGC
rnacentral:rRNA from 1 species